GUCCACGCCGUAAACGAUGAGUGCUAAGUGUUAGAGGGUUUCCGCCCUUUAGUGCUGAAGUUAACGCAUUAAGCACUCCGCCUGGGGAGUACGGCCGCAAGGCUGAAACUCAAAGGAAUUGACGGGGCCCGCACAAGCGGUGGAGCAUGUGGUUUAAUUCGAAGCAACGCGAAGAACCUUACCAGGUCUUGACAUCCUCUGAAAACCCCUAGAGAUAGGGCUUCUCCUUCGGGAGCAGAGUGACAGGUGGUGCAUGGUUGUCGU
rnacentral:rRNA from 1 species